AAUAGCAUGCUUGACAAAAAGGUCGUUUUGAUAGAACGAAUCAUGAGAGCCCGCCCCUCUGCUAUUA
rnacentral:tRNA from 1 species